rnacentral:lncRNA from 1 species
CUGUCUUGAUGUAGAUCUGAUCGUUACUUUGUCCCUGUCUUGAUGUAGAUCUGAACGUUACUAUGUGCCUGUCAUGAUGUAGAGCUGAACGUUACUAUGUGCCUGUGCUGAUGUAGAUCUGAACGUUACUAUGUCCCUGUAUUGAUGUAGAUCUGAACGUUACUAUGUCCCUGUGCUGAUGUAGAUCUGAACGUUACUAUGUCCCAGUCUUGAUGUACCUUUUUCGAAUCUGCCAGAUUUGUCAGAGGGUCAGACGCUAUUCGUGAACACUGCUCGUCUCAUUAUUGUCGUCAGAAGCUAAUGAUAUUGAAAUAAAAAGUUGAACACAG